AUCUGGUUAGCUCAGUCAGUAGAGCAUGAGACUCUUAAUUUCAGGGUUGUAGGUUCGAGCCCCACAUUGGGUG
rnacentral:tRNA from 1 species